UGCGGUUCCGCGGCCGCCGGAGGCGCUGGGGGCUCUUUUCCCCAAAUUGUUGUUUGAUGGUGUCCCGGCCCUUUCCCGCCCCCGCCGCUGCGGACCCGCAUUCAGGCUGUUCGGGUGCUCUUGGGCCGUGGCGGCGCCUCCCCCUCCGAGCCUGCGGCCCCGCACGGUGGUGUUGAGGCCAGCUGUCUGAGGGUCACCGGGGCAAUGCCGGGUCCUGCGCGGGGCUCACACCAACCCCACGGCCGCUGCAGCUGGGGGGGCGGCUGGAAAAGGGCCUGGGGCGUUGGUGCCAGCGGCGGAACGUGAGCCAGCGGGCGCCCGGGUGGCCAAGAGGCCACAGCAGCCUGGCUGGUACCAAGAACAGUGUGGCCAGCGGGACGGGAGAAGUGGUUGUGCCUGCGCUGGGCGCUGGCGAG